rnacentral:rRNA from 1 species
CCUACGGGUGGCAGCAGUGAGGAAUAUUGGUCAAUGGACGAGAGUCUGAACCAGCCAAGUCGCGUGAAGGAUGACUGCCCUAUGUAUUGUAAACUUCUUUUGUAAGGGAAUAAAACGAGGCACGUGUGCCUUUUUGCGUGUACUUUAUGAAUAAGGAUCGGCUAACUCCGUGCCAGCAGCCGCGGUAAUACGGAGGAUCCGAGCGUUAUCCGGAUUUAUUGGGUUUAAAGGGAGCGUAGAUGGGUUGUUAAGUCAGUUGUGAAAGUUUGCGGCUCAACCGUAAACUUGCAAUUGAUACUGGCAGUCUUGAGUACAGGUGAGGUAGGCGGAAUUCGUGGUGUAGCGGUGAAAUGCGUAGAUAUCACGAAGAACCCCGAUUGCGAAGGCAGCUUACUGGACCGUGACUGACGUUGAGGCUCGAAAGCGUGGGUAUCAAACAGGAUUAGAUACCCCAGUAGUC